GAUGAACGCUGGCGGCGUGCCUAACACAUGCAAGUCGAGCGAACCCUUCGGGGUGAGCGGCGGACGGGUGAGUAACGCGUGGGUAACCUGCCCUGUACACACGGAUAACAUACCGAAAGGUAUGCUAAUACGAGAUAAUAUAUUUUAAUCGCAUGGUUAAGAUAUCAAAGCUCCGGCGGUACAGGAUGGACCCGCGUCUGAUUAGCUAGUUGGUGAGGUAAUGGCUCAACAAGGCGACGAACAGUAGCCGACAUGAGAGGGUGAUCGGCCACACUGCAACUGGGACACGUGCCAGAAUCCUAGGGGGGGGAGCAGUGGGAAUAUUGCAAAAUGGGCGAAAGCCUGAUGCAGCAACGCCGCGUGACCGAUGAAGGCCUUCGGGUCGUAAAGCUCUGUCCUCAAGGAGGAUAAUGACGGUACUUGAGGAGGAAGCCCCGGCUAACUACGUGCCAGCAGCCGCCGUAA
rnacentral:rRNA from 1 species